rnacentral:lncRNA from 1 species
UCAUCCCUGGGCAAGUGAAAGCAGGCUGAGCAAGCAGUGAAGCCAGCCAGCAAGCAGCUCUUCUCCAUGGCUUCUCUUAGUUCUCGCCUCGGGUUCCCACCCUAAUUUCCCUCAGCAAUGGACAGUUAGUUACUGGCAGCUAUAAGGUGUGAUAACCUUUCCUCCUCAUGUCUGUUUUAGUCAUGGUUUCUUAUCACAGCAGACAGAAAGUCUUUCCAAUAUUUGCUCUGAAGCCCCAGCUCGAGUAGAGCAGCAGCAAUAAAUUGAGGCAUUCUGGUGUGAGGCCUGGGAGUGCGGCGAAAGUAACUCUUCCAGCCUCUCCAGCUGAUGGGCCAGCUUCAUUCUGCCCUGCGGGGCCCAUGGAGGCUCGAGAACUAACCCUUAGUACACGGUGGAAGCUCUCCAUCCACCUGGUUCUAAUUCUUAGUCCCGAUUCUGCCUCUAGGACACGGAGUCCUGGUGUCUGUGCAAAAGAGUUGCCUGCUCCAGAUGGAUGGGUACAUUGAGUGCUCAGCUCAUUUCACCCUUGGGGCUUCCUGUGAAGCAAAGUGGAUUAAAGAGUCGUUCCCCCCCCCCACCUCCCACAGUUACUCCUAAACCUCAUACCUGCAAGCAUGAUCCUAUUUAGUGUCCACAGAGGCCAUUAAGGAUCUGAAGAUGUGAUCAUCUUACAAUGAGGACAGUCUGUAAUCUACUGCCAGGGUCUAAAUGAGAAAGGAAAGAAGCUCUAAGCCAGACACAGGGAGAAGGCCACCUGAGACCCAAGAAGACCAGAGAUGUGUACCAUAAGGAGGAGCCACCUGGAGCUGCAGAGGUGAGGGAGGCUCCUGCAGCCUGUGCCCCUCCCUCACAUCCUUGGUCCUCAGAGCCCUUACAGAUAGAGGGGUCCUAUUCUGGAUAACUCAAGCCCCAUCAAGCAACUUCGACACCCCUCUGCAACUAACUGGCUGUCUAGCCCAGCCCAGGCAGGCUAAGGUCACUCUGCAUUCUGUAAAGAAAAGACCUGCAGCCCAAUGUGAUAGUGUACCAGUUUGUUUCUCUGUUGAUGCAAUAAAACAUUGAUCAAAAGCAA